rnacentral:rRNA from 1 species
GAGAAGGUGUACUUCGGUACACUGGACAGUGGCGCACGGGUGAGUAACGCGUGGGAACCUGCCCCGAGGUACGGAACAACGGCUGGAAACGGCCGCUAAUGCCGUAUGUGUCCUGAGGGAGAAAGAUUUAUCGCCUUGGGAGGGGCCCGCGUCCGAUUAGCUAGUUGGUGAGGUAAUGGCUCACCAAGGCGACGAUCGGUAGCUGGUCUGAGAGGAUGAUCAGCCACACUGGGACUGAGACACGGCCCAGACUCCUACGGGAGGCAGCAGUGGGGAAUAUUGGACAAUGGGGGCAACCCUGAUCCAGCAAUGCCGCGUGUGUGAUGAAGGCCUUAGGGUUGUAAAGCACUUUCACUGGUGAAGAUGAUGACGGUAGCCAGAGAAGAAGCCCCGGCUAACUCCGUGCCAGCAGCCGCGGUAAUACGGAGGGGGCAAGCGUUGUUCGGAAUUACUGGGCGUAAAGGGCGUGUAGGCGGCGGUCUUAGUCAGGCGUGAAAGCCCGGGGCUCAACCUCGGAAUAGCGCUUGAUACUGGAUUGCUUGAGACCGGAAGAGGGUAGUGGAAUUCCCAGUGUAGAGGUGAAAUUCGUAGAUAUUGGGA